rnacentral:rRNA from 1 species
AGAGUUUGAUCCUGGCUCAGAUUGAACGCUGGCGGCGUGGAUUAGGCAUGCAAGUCGAACGAGAAAGUGGUUUUUAAUCACGAGUAAAGUGGCGAACGGGUGAGUAACGCGUGGGAAACCUGCCCUUAAGAGGGGGAUAACAUUCCUAACGGGAUGCUAAUACCGCAUAAAAUUACAGAUCGCAUGUUCUGUAAUCAAAGAUGGCCUCUACAUGUAAGCUGUUACUUAAGGAUGGUCCCGCGUCCAAUUAGCUAGUUGGUGAGGUAAAUGCUCACCAAGGCGACGAUUGGUAGCCGGCCUGAGAGGGUGACCGGCCACACUGGGACUGAGACACGGCCCAGACUCCUACGGGAGGCAGCAGUCGAGAAGCUUCGGCAAUGGGGGCAACCCUGACCGAGCGACGCCGCGUGGGUGAUGAAGUCUUUCGAGAUGUAAAGCCCUGUCAUUCGGGAUGAAAAGUUGAUUGGUCAAAAGCCUUUUGACCUGACAGUACCGAAAGAGGAAGCUCCGGCUAACUCCGUGCCAGCAGCCGCGGUAAUACGGGGGGAGCAAGCGUUAUUCGAAAUUACUGGGCAUAAAGGGUUCGCAGGCGGUCUUGCAAGUCAGAGGUGAAAUCUAGCGGCUUAACCGCUAAACUGCCUUUGAAACUGCAUGACUUGAGGACAGGCGAGGAAAGCGGAAUUCUUGGUGUAGCGGUGAAAUGCGUGGAUAUCAAGAAGAACAUCAGUGGCGAAGGCGGCUUUCUAGCCUGUUUCUGACGCUCAGGAACGAAAGCUAGGGUAGCAAACGGGAUUAGAUACCCCGGUAGUCCUAGCCGUAAACGAUGGGCACUAGGUGUGGGAGGUAUCGACUCCUUCCGUGCCGUAGUUAAUGCAUUAAGUGCCCCGCCUGGGGAUUACGAUCGCAAGAUUGAAACUCAAAGGAAUUGACGGGGGCCCGCACAAGCGGUGGAGCAUGUGGUUUAAUUCGAUGAUACACGCAGAACCUCACCGGGGUUUGACAUGUAAGUGACUCACAUUGAAAGGCGUGUUCUCCUUCGGGAGCACUUACACAGGUGCUGCAUGGCUGUCGUCAGCUCGCGUCGUGAGAUGUUGGGUUAAGUCCCAUAACGAGCGCAACCCUUGUCCUUUGUUGCCAUCAGGUAAUGCUGGGAACUCUAAGGAGACUGUCGGUGAUAAACCGGAGGAAGGUGGGGAUGACGUCAAGUCCUCAUGGCCCUUACGCCCCGGGCUACACACGUGCUACAAUGGCAGGUACAGAGGGCCGCGAAGCUGCGAAGUCGAGCGAAUCCCAGAAAACCUGUCUCAGUACGGAUUGCAGUCUGCAACUCGACUGCAUGAAGGCGGAAUCGCUAGUAAUCGCGGAUCAGAACGCCGCGGUGAAUACGUUCCCGGGCCUUGUACACACCGCCCGUCAAGCGAUGGAAGUCGGAAGUGCCCGAAGUCGUUGUCUCAACCUAGUGAGGGAGCCGCCGAAGGUAAGACCGGUGACUGGCGCUAAGUCGUAACAA